GGUCCCCAGAUGUUGUUGAACUACAAUUCCCAUCACCCCUAGCUAGCAUGGCCAGAGCUCAGGGAUGAUGGGAGUUGUAGUUCAACAACAUCUGGGGACCCA